rnacentral:rRNA from 1 species
AAGGAUCAUUACAGAGAUCAUGCCCUCUACGGGUAGACCUCCCACCCUGUGUUAUUUACGAUUGUUGCUUUGGCAGGUCGCCUUCGGGCACUCGGCUCUGGCUGAGGCGUACCUGCCAAAGGACCCCCAACUCUGUGUUUAGUGUUGUCUGAGUCUUAUUUUAAUACGUUAAAACUUUCAACAACGGAUCUCUUGGUUCUGGCAUCGAUGAAGAACGCAGCGAAAUGCGAUAAGUAAUGUGAAUUGCAGAAUUCAGUGAAUCAUCGAAUCUUUGAACGCACAUUGCGCCCCUUGGUAUUCCGGGGGGCAUGCCUGUUCGAGCGUCAUUUCAACCCUCAAGCUUUGCUUGGUCUUGGGCACUGCCGGGAACGGCUUGCCUUAAAAGCAGUGGCGGUGCCAUUCGAGCUCUACGCGUAGUAAUUAACCCCUCGCGAUUGAGUCUUGAUGGAUGCUUGCCAGCAACCCUCAAUUUUUUUUGUGGUUGACCUCGGAUCAGGUAGGGAUACCCGCUGAACUUAA